rnacentral:rRNA from 1 species
UACGGAAGGGGCAAGCGUUGUUCGGAAUCAUUGGGCGUAAAGGGCGCGUAGGUGGUUCUGUAUGUCUACCGUGAAAGCAUACAGCUCAACUGUAUUUUGUCGGUAGAAACUGCAGGACUUGAGGCUGGGAGGGGCUGGUGGAAUUCCCUGUGUAGCGGUGAAAUGCGUAGAGAUGGGGGAGAACACUUGUGGCGAAGGCGGCCAGCUAGACCAGUUCUGACACUGAGGCGCGACAGCGUGGGGAGCAAACAGG